UCUCAGGAGCUAGAGGGAGGCAGGUAUCUUUACUUCGAGACUAGCUUGGUCUAUAGGGUGAGUUCCAGAACAGCCAGGGCUACACAGAGAAUCCCUGUCUCUCCCAACUCCCUAAAAUUUUCCAUCUCUAAUGAAUGUGUUCACAUUGGUUUUUUUGGCAUGGUCAGUGUAAGAGCCAGUACAAGAAAAUUAAAAGGAAUUAUAUAAGGUGAUAGGACACAUGCAUGCCUAGUCCUCGUUAAGAUGACUCAUUAAGGCAUCAUUAUUCUUCUAUGCUCUGACUUGAGAGGACUCAGUGUUUCUGUCCUCUGCAUUAGCUUAGUGGUCAAAUUUUAAAUUAUUUUGAUAACUCUCAGGGAACUGCCAGGUCUCAUAAAAUUUUCCCAGUAAUUGUCACAGGGAGAGCUAUGAAAAAAAAACCCGAGGUCUCUAAGAAGAAAUCCACAUUGGCUAAUCUUUUUCUUUUCUUUUCUUUUUAAUUUAUUUAUUUAUUAGGUAUUUCUUCAUUUACAUUUCCAAUGCUAUCCCAAAGUCCCCCAUACCCUCCCACACCCACUCCCCUACCCACGCACUCCCACUUCUUGGCACAUUGGCUAAUUUUAAGAGAGCCAAAAAAAGGGAUUGUUGGUCAGGAUCUAAACAUGGUUUCUUUCGUUAAUGUGUGUGUGUAUGUAUGCUCCCUAGUGCCCACUCAUAUCAAUAUGCCAUCUCAUAACUAGACAUAUGACCUCAAACCUUGGGAAAUUGCUCUACUACUCUGUUGCCAGUACUUCUUUCAUUACAGAGCUUUCCAGAACAGAAUCAACAGAUUGGAUUUAUUCUACCAGUGAGUCAGUUGCUUAUUAGCACUUUUGACAUCCAGAUGGUCUGAGACAAAGGC
rnacentral:lncRNA from 1 species